rnacentral:rRNA from 1 species
AGAGUUUGAUCAUGGCUCAGGAUGAACGCUAGCUACAGGCUUAACACAUGCAAGUCGAGGGGCAGCAUGAUCAAAGCUUGCUUUGGUUGAUGGCGACCGGCGCACGGGUGAGUAACGCGUAUCCAACCUUCCCCUUAGUAGGGCAUAGCCCGUAGAAAUGCGGAUUAAUACCCUAUGUUGUUCGUAGAGGACAUCUGAAAUGAACCAAAGGUUUACCGCUAAGGGAUGGGGAUGCGUCUGAUUAGGUAGUCGGCGGGGUAACGGCCCACCGAGCCUUCGAUCAGUAGGGGUUCUGAGAGGAAGGUCCCCCACAUUGGAACUGAGACACGGUCCAAACUCCUACGGGAGGCAGCAGUGAGGAAUAUUGGUCAAUGGGCGCGAGCCUGAACCAGCCAAGUAGCGUGCAGGAUGACGGCCCUAUGGGUUGCAAACCUCUUUUGCCUGGGGGCAAUAAGGCGCAUGCGUGCGUUGAUGAGAGUACCAGGCGAAUAAGCAUCGGCUAACUCCGUGCCAGCAGCCGCGGUAAUACGGAGGAUGCGAGCGUUAUCCGGAUUUAUUGGGUUUAAAGGGUGCGCAGGCGGUCGAUUAAGUCAGCGGUGAAAUGUCCCGGCUCAACCGGGGAGCUGCCGUUGAUACUGGUUGGCUUGAGUGCGAACGGCGCCGGCGGAAUGAGUGGUGUAGCGGUGAAAUGCAUAGAUAUCACUCAGAACACCGAUCGCGAAGGCAGCUGGCGAGGACGUUACUGACGCUGAGGCACGAAAGCGUGGGGAGCAAACAGGAUUAGAUACCCUGGUAGUCCACGCAGUAAACGAUGAUAACUAACCGUCGGCGAUAGACAGUCGGCGGCCAAGCGAAAGCGAUAAGUUAUCCACCUGGGGAGUACGUUCGCAAGAAUGAAACUCAAAGGAAUUGACGGGGGCCCGCACAAGCGGAGGAACAUGUGGUUUAAUUCGAUGAUACGCGAGGAACCUUACCCGGGCUCGAACGGCAGGUGAACGACACAGAGAUGUGAAGGCCCUUCGGGGCGCCUGUCGAGGUGCUGCAUGGUUGUCGUCAGCUCGUGCCGUGAGGUGUCGGCUCAAGUGCCAUAACGAGCGCAACCCUUGCCUUCAGUUACCAGCACGCAAUGGUGGGGACUCUGAAGGGACUGCCACCGCAAGGUGAGAGGAAGGGGGGGAUGACGUCAAAUCAGCACGGCCCUUACGUCCGGGGCGACACACGUGUUACAAUGGCGGCCACAGAGGGAAGCCACCUGGCGACAGGGAGCGAAUCUCGAAAAGCCGUCUCAGUUCGGAUCGGAGUCUGCAACCCGACUCCGUGAAGCUGGAUUCGCUAGUAAUCGCGCAUCAGCCAUGGCGCGGUGAAUACGUUCCCGGGCCUUGUACACACCGCCCGUCAAGCCAUGAAAGCCGGGGGUGCCUGAAGUCCGUGACCGAGAGGAGCGGCCUAGGGCAAAACUGGUAAUUGGGGCUAAGUCGUAACAAGGUAACCGUA